AAAAUAAUUCAAAUCGCGCCCCUUCUCUCUCUUACACACACCAGCCUUCAUUCAAAAAUCAAAACCCUCCCAUCUCACACAAUCGCCACUCCAUUUCUCCCCCAGAUCGGAGGGGUUUUCAGCUUAACUUCAAUUGGACUUCUAAAUCCUAAAAAUCGAAGAUUAAUCGGUGAAAAACACUCGGAAAAAUGUAUAUGGAUGAUGAGUACGAGCGGGGAGACAACGGUGAGGAUCAAGGGUACAACAUUGGCGAGGAGUACGAAGACAGCGAGGGCGACGACGAGGAGGAUAUCACGCAGGAGGACGCCUGAGCGGUGACCAGUGCUUAAUUCGAUGAGAAGGGUCUGGUGCGGCAGCAACUCGAUUCCUUCGAUGAGUUCAUCCAGAACAUGAUGCAGGAGAUUGUCGAUGAGUCGGCCGACAUCGAGAUCCGCGCUAAGUCGCAGCACAACCCCGACCACCAACCGGACUUUGCCGAGGAAUUACCAAGAGAGAUACAACAACCCUAGAUGAAGAGAGUUGGCAAUAGUCCGAGUGCUAGCACUGUGUCGAAAUGCAAUCACCCAUGCCAAGUCUGCAAUUCAUUUCUUAUUUUUUAUGUUGAUUCCAAUCCAAUCUUAUUAAUCUGUUCUGUACCAUUGUGAAUGUGAUUGAUGGUAAUACUACGGUGGCAGUAAGAGCAUUCGAUGUGAGCUUCUGCUAUCGGACACUCACAAAGGUGACACCCCGAGGCUGCUCUACAUUUACAAGAGAUGGGCAUAUUUCAUUUAAAACUAUCAAAGGGGCAUGAGUCUGCAUCACUGCAUCAACCUACGGUUUCAAGGCCCCGAACCAGGUUUGCUUUGUCACUUGGUAUAAUAAGAAAGCAGCAGCGAGCUCUCAAUCAAGAAUCCCACCUCAUAGCAUUGGUGGAAAUUCUUCUGAAAAUUCUAGCUUGUUGCUGGUGAAGCAGAUUCUAUUUGAAUCGAACAGUAUGGAUAAAGAAACCAUGUUGCAUUGGAAACUAAGGAUACACAUUCUGAACUUGAGAGUAUAAGCCCUGACAAAGUUGUUGAAGCCCAGGAAGGUAUGGACCCGAGGAAGAGACCUUAAACUUGUGAAGGUGGAAGUCGGGUGGCUUCAUGAGAGGCUGGAGCUGAUAUCCAAGGCUAGGCAGAUGUACGAUGGGGUUUCGACACUCGAGGCUUUGAAGGCGAGAAGCGUCGGGGUCAUCUAUGAGAA